rnacentral:rRNA from 1 species
GUCACUUUAAUUUGAUGAACUAUUCUCGUAAGCAAUAAAUAUGCUUAAAUAUGGAGUUUUAAGAACAUUUCCAGUUUAAAAUCUUAAUUAAAUAUAAGAAAUUAUAAUUUAGACAGUUUAUUAAUUUAGGUUUAUUAGGUGCCAGCAACCGCGGUCAGACCUAAUAGAUUAGUUUACAAGCUCAGUAAAUAUUAAAAGCUACUUAAAGUAUAUAAUACAUAGUGAAAUAUUAUUAUAGAUGUUAACCCAUAAAAGGCCUGUGAAAAUAAUAAACUCAUAUUUAAAACUAGGAUUAGAGACCCUACUAUUAUGAGCUCAACACAUACUUACUAAGAAAUAAAACUAUAGAGUUCAAACUUAAAAUUUAUGGCGGCUAAAUAAAAUACUUAGGGGAACUUACCAUAUAAUUGAUAGCCACCAAGUAUUAUAAUACUUACAUUAUAAAAUUUGUAUACCGUUGUCUUCAUAAACCCCUUUAAAGGGGUUUAUAAAUAUUAGUGUAAAGACUAAGACAAAUCAAGGUGCAGUCUAUUAGUAAGAAUUAAGGUGAGUUACAGUAAAGAAUUAUUUCGGAUUAUUCAAUGAAAAAUCAUAUAAAGAUGGACUUAAAAGUAAUAUAUAAGGAUAAUUAAAAUAUGAAUUUAUAUUAUUUGGUGUA